UACGGGGGGGGCAAGCGUUGUUCGGAAUUACUGGGCGUAAAGGGCUCGUAGGUGGCCAACUAAGUCAGACGUGAAAUCCCUCGGCUUAACCGGGGAACUGCAUCUGAUACUGGAUGGCUUGAGUUUGGGAGAGGGAUGCGGAAUUCCAGGUGCAGCGGUGAAAUGCGUAGAUAUCUGGAGGAACACCGGUGGCGAAGGCGGCAUCCUAGACCAACACUGACACUGAGGAGCGAAAGCCAGGGGAGCAAACGGG
rnacentral:rRNA from 1 species